ACUUAAAUUGAAGAGUUUGAUCAUGGCUCAGAUUGAACGCUGGCGGCAGGCCUAACACAUGCAAGUCGAGCGGC
rnacentral:rRNA from 1 species